rnacentral:rRNA from 1 species
AUUGAACGCUGGCGGCAGGCUUAACACAUGCAAGUCGAGCGGAGUGAUGGUGCUUGCACUAUCACUUAGCGGCGGACGGGUGAGUAAUGCUUGGGAAUCUGCCUAUUAGUGGGGGACAACAUCUCGAAAGGGAUGCUAAUACCGCAUACGUCCUACGGGAGAAAGCAGGGGAUCACUUGUGACCUUGCGCUAAUAGAUGAGCCUAAGUCGGAUUAGCUAGUUGGUGGGGUAAAGGCCUACCAAGGCGACGAUCUGUAGCGGGUCUGAGAGGAUGAUCCGCCACACUGGGACUGAGACACGGCCCAGACUCCUACGGGAGGCAGCAGUGGGGAAUAUUGGACAAUGGGGGGAACCCUGAUCCAGCCAUGCCGCGUGUGUGAAGAAGGCCUUAUGGUUGUAAAGCACUUUAAGCGAGGAGGAGGCUCUUUUGGUCAAUACCCAAGAUGAGUGGACGUUACUCGCAGAAUAAGCACCGGCUAACUCUGUGCCAGCCGCCGCCGUAA